rnacentral:rRNA from 1 species
AGUCAUAUGCUUGUCUCAAAGAUUAAGCCAUGCAUGUCUCAGUACAAGCCGAACUAAGGUGAAACCGCGAAAGGCUCAUUAAAUCAGUUAUGGUUCCUUAGAUCGUACCCACACUUACUUGGAUAACUGUGGUAAUUCUAGAGCUAAUACAUGCCAAUAGAGCUCCGACCGGAGACGGAAGGAGCGCUUUUAUUAGAUCAAAACCAAUCGGCGACGGGUCUCACUCGUCGUCGUACACCUUGGUGAAUCUGAAUAACUUUCUGCUGAUCGCACGGUCCAGCACCGGCGACGCAUCUUUCAAAUGUCUGCCUUAUCAACUGUCGAUGGUAGGUUCUGCGCCUACCAUGGUUGUAACGGGUAACGGGGAAUCAGGGUUCGAUUCCGGAGAGGGAGCCUGAGAAACGGCUACCACAUCCAAGGAAGGCAGCAGGCGCGCAAAUUACCCACUCCCGGCACGGGGAGGUAGUGACGAAAAAUAACGAUACGGGACUCAUCCGAGGCCCCGUAAUCGGAAUGAGUACACUCUAAACCCUUUAACGAGGAUCAAUUGGAGGGCAAGUCUGGUGCCAGCAGCCGCGGUAAUUCCAGCUCCAAUAGCGUAU